rfam:Schistosoma mansoni strain Puerto Rico chromosome 5, complete genome
CUGCCAAGGAGGAGUCCCACAAUAGGACGAAACGGCCGUCAUGCAG